UCAUCCUGUCCUCACAAUGGCUGGUGUGGAGACCCACAGACUUCAUCCUUAGGACGGACCUUCAGGCACCCAGGCUGCCUACUGACCUCCCUGGCAUGGGUGGGAACCGGGAGCUCGUUGGUAAGCAGGAGGAUUCAGGACUAUCGACUGAACCCCACCUCCUCUGUGGCACGCACCGUGCUGUGUCUUUGCAGUCAUCAUCUCAUCACCUCUGCACAGGAAGAUUAUCUCCCCCAUUUUGUGAUGAGGAAAUGGAGGCUCCAGGUGGAAAGAUGCAACCUGGGCCAGAGGCCCCUGGAGGUUGUGCCUGAACCCAGACAGAUCACACAAACCUGAGCAGCCAUUAGCCGCUGUGUGGGCUCCUUUGCACUGUGGGGCUGCUCCUGGGGAUAUUUACGUUGUGAACUGGUAAAAUCUGAACUGCAGAAUAUCAAUUUCCAGACAUUCUUCCUAGAUGAUGCCGUCUGCCACGGGUCCCUUCCUCUCUCCAGCUGUCUGGAAUGGAGCUACCAUGUCUGGUGCCCAAGCAGCCAGCUCUGACCCAGAGUUAACAUAUUAUGGAUUGUGGAGCCACAGGAUGGAGUAGCCUGGGUCUGAUGGUUCUGUUAGUCAAGGCUAGUCAAAGAAGCAGGACCAACAGGAAAUACAUAUGUUUAUGUAUGUA
ensembl:lncRNA LINC00539 long intergenic non-protein coding RNA 539